AACGCACAUUGCGCCCCUUGGUAUUCCGAGGGGCAUGCCUGUUCGAGCGUCAUUACAACCCUCAAGCACUGCUUGGUAUUGGGCUCCGCUGCUUAUCCAGCGGGCCUUAAAAUUAGUGGCGGUGUCAUUAGGCCCUGAGCGUAGUAAAUAUCCUCGCUAUAGGGACUUGGUGAUUACUGGCCAGCAACCCCCCACUUUCUAAGUUUGACCUCGGAUCAGGUAGGGAUACCCGCUGAACUUAA
rnacentral:misc_RNA from 1 species